rnacentral:tRNA from 1 species
GCCUGGCUGGCUCAGUUGGUGGAGCAUGUGACUCUUGAUCUCAAGUUUAUGAGUUCAAGCCCCAUAUCAGGUG